rnacentral:rRNA from 1 species
UACAGAGGUCUCAAGCGUUGUUCGGAUUCAUUGGGCGUAAAGGGUGCGUAGGUGGCAUGGUAAGUUGAAGGUGAAAUCUCGGAGCUCAACUCCGAAACUGCCUUCAAUACUGCUGUGCUUGAGGACUGUAGAGGAGAAUGGAAUUCACGGUGUAGCAGUGAAAUGCGUAGAUAUCGUGAGGAAGACCAGUGGCGAAGGCGGGCUUCUGGUUGACAUCUGACGCUGAGGUGCGAAAGCUAGGGGAGCGAACGGG